rnacentral:rRNA from 1 species
UGCCAGCCGCCGCGGUAAUACGGAGGGUGCAAGCGUUGUUCGGAAUUAUUGGGCGUAAAGCGCGUGUAGGCGGUUCGUUAAGUCUGAUGUGAAAGCCCGGGGCUCAACCCCGGAAGUGCAUUGGAAACUGGCGAACUUGAGUACGGGAGAGGAAAGUGGAAUUCCGAGUGUAGGGGUGAAAUCCGUAGAUAUCAGGAGGAACACCAGUGGCGAAAGCGACUUCCUGGCCCGAAACUGACGCUCAUGGACGAAAGCGUGGGUAGCAAACAGGAUUAGAUA